GGCGAACGCUGGCGGCGUGCUUAACACAUGCAAGUCGAACGGAAAGGCCCUGCUUUUGUGGGGUGCUCGAGUGGCGAACGGGUGAGUAACACGUGAGUAACCUGCCCUUGACUUUGGGAUAACUUCAGGAAACUGGGGCUAAUACCGGAUAGGAGCUCCUGCUGCAUGGUGGGGGUUGGAAAGUUUCGGCGGUUGGGGAUGGACUCGCGGCUUAUCAGCUUGUUGGUGGGGUAGUGGCUUACCAAGGCUUUGACGGGUAGCCGGCCUGAGAGGGUGACCGGCCACAUUGGGACUGAGAUACGGCCCAGACUCCUACGGGAGGCAGUAGUGGGGAAUAUUGCACAAUGGGCGGAAGCCUGAUGCAGCAACGCCGCGUGCGGGAUGACGGCCUUCGGGUUGUAAACCGCUUUCGCCUGUGACGAAGCGUGAGUGACGGUAAUGGGUAAAGAAGCACCGGCUAACUACGUG
rnacentral:rRNA from 1 species